rnacentral:rRNA from 1 species
GAUGAACGCUGACAGAAUGCUUAACACAUGCAAGUCGAUGGGGAAGUGGUGCUUGCACCAUGGCAACCAUGGCGGACGGGUGAGUAACGCGUAAGGGACUUACCUGCAGGACUGGGAUAACAGGGGGAAACUCCUGACAAGACCGGAUAAUGUCAUGGAGCUGCAUGGCUUUAUGAUGAAAGGAGACGCCUGCGGAGAGCCUUGCGUCCUAUUAGCUAGUUGGUGAGGUAAUGGCUCACCAAGGCGAAGAUAGGUAGCCGGCCUGAGAGGGUGGACGGCCACAAGGGGACUGAGAGACGGCCCUUACUCCUACGGGAGGCAGCAGUGGAGAAUAUUGGACAAUGGGGGCAACCCUGAUCCAGCAAUUCUGUGUGCACGAAGAUGGUUUUCGGAUUGUAAAGUGCUUUCAGCAGGGAAGAAGUAAGUGACGGUACCUGCAGAAGAAGCGACGGCUAAAUACGUG